AGUGGCGAGUGCGCGGACUGCGGAGAGGGGAGCCGGUAGUGGUGGGGUUUGUCUGAUCGAGCUCCAACAGAUGUCCUGGCGCGCGCGAGAAUUAGUAAAGCCCGACUCCUCGCCAUGCAGUCUUCCAUUGGACCUAGCAGUUUGUUAAGCAGAAGAAGGGGGCAAACUGUGACUGUGAGUGAGCUUCCUGAGGUGUUUGUGGUGGAACCAUUUCUUUUCUUCUUACAGGUAAGCAUACAUGGAAGUAAAAAAAAAAGCAUGGAACAAUCUCAGUUUUUAUAGCGAAGUCACUCGGUUCUGACUGGUUCUGCAAGAAUGUGGACAAGAUAAGAUGGGCUGUGUUUAGAUCCGUGAAAUGGUGGUAAAAAGGGUCACAUCGGAUAAUGUAGCAUACUGUAGUACUUUUCGUUUGUUUGUGGUAAUUGUUGUCCUAUCAUGACCUAACUAGGCUCAAAAGAUUCGUCUCGUCGUGUA